GUCUUUAUGUUUAUUUUGUUUUAGUUUUGUCGUCAAAAAUUAAAAAAAAUCUCUUAUUUUCCUCGAUGUUCAAUCUGAGGCUUGUCUUCGAUGUUCAAUCUGAAGACAUUUUUCUGCCGUCAAAAUAGGUACGGGAAGAUCGAACUUUUGAUUUGGCCGAUCUAUACAUUCAAUAAUCAUAUAUAAAAGAUAGGAUCAAGGUGAUCAGGGUUCAAAUUAGUUACAUGGAUGUUGACUUGAGGUUUUCGGACCUCUUUUACAAACUGAUAUGAAGGUAAUUAGACAAUUAAAAGAAUUGAUCUCCUUUCAGAUUGGAGUGCCAUAAACGUCAAUAAUACUUGUGAUUCUGCAAAGGACUGAUCUCAAUAAUACUUGUGAUUCUGCAAAGGACACUUAAACGGAUCAUCUAAUAAAUAUAGGUUUAAGUAGAACUUACAGUCUGAUCAGCUAACACGAAUUCUAGUGUUUCAUCGGCAUAGGGAGGGGUUUGUUUCCAUGAGCGAAUAACUUUCACUUGUAGACGCCAUUUACUUUUAAAAGGCCUCAAUCCGUUUAUAAAAGUAAGAUUCUUGUUCUCUGACAUGAUAAACUAUAAGCAACGAUCAAAAUAUUAGUUUAGGAGUGGUUUAGGUUAUUGAACACUUAUGCAAGGUUAGGUAUAUAUAAUGUAAAUGUGAAGCCCUAAUCAAUGGAAUAUACUUUAAGUGGGGCGGAAGACAAAAUCUUAUGAUUUUAUGGAAGAAUAUAAUUUGUUCCCAAAAUUACUCCAAAUCGUUCGUAAAUAAUGGGAAACCAGUGAGAUCGCUAUAUCUUUAGAUUUUUUUAUAAAUCUAGAAUUGAUUGUUUCUUCCUCUGCAAGAAAAUGAAUUGGUUGUAAUCAAAAAGAUAUGAUAUUGAAGAGGAGAUAUUCGAUUUUAGGUUUGUAUUUAGUGUGAUGUCCUCCUACGUUUUCGGUUAAAUGUUGUUAAGUUUCAAAUUAUUACUUUACUUUUACGUAAUCAUCUUUAGAAGUUAAUUUAUUGAUGUUAAGUUUAUAUUUGAAUAUGAAAAACACAUUAAUAUAACUGAAAAAGACAAGCUUAAAAAUAGGUAGGUAAAUUUAUUAUUUCAAUGGCAUUCAAAUGUAAUUAAGUUUGAAAACUAAGGGGUAAUUUUAAAUGGUACUUCUCUUUUAAUAAUAGAGAUAGGGGAUUGUUUGCUAACCAAAAAUGCAUAAAUGAAAGUAUUAAACGGGAUUAAGAUAACCCAGCUGAUUACAUAAUAAUUGUUUGCUAAACAUAAAAAUGCAUAAAUGAAAGGACUAAACCGGAAUAAUCUAACCCAAAUUGGUAAACCGAAAUUAACUGAUUAUAUAACAAGGUGAUUUGGCAAAUGUCGAUCAUAUUGUCUGGUUGAUUCCAAAGGGUUCAAAUUUCUGAGAUGGUUUACUCUACGUCCACCAGACGCAUUAUUAAUUGAUGGAGAACAUAGACUAAGACUGGAACCUGCACUAGCACUAGGAGGCCAGAUUAGGCACCAAAGAAUGCAUUUACUUUGUUGGGCUUGCGUUGAUUGUGACCUGAUAGUUGCUCUAGAGUGUUGAAUGAGUUAGAUAAGGAGUACAUGCAUCUUUCUCUAAUGUUUCUAUGUCGGAACGUUAGUACAGAAGAAUAUAAAGAAUAUUGUGAAGCUGGAAACAACAAGCAUUGUUGCUUUCCUAGUGGCUUGCUUUGGAGUCUGAUGUAUGCCAAGUUACAUGGUUAGCUGAAAGAAAAAGUUGAAGACAAGAGAUUCAACAGACGUCUUUUACUAUGAUACUCUAGAGUCAGCUUUGAAGCGUUUGAAGAUGGGGUAUCUGGUUGGUGCAACGUUACUGUUGUUUGAUGGAUGAGUGAGUAUUAUAAGGUGAAAAGUGAUGAAAAAAUGCAUAUAUACUAUGGUCUGAAACCAGGCGCUGCAUAUCACGAUGAACAUGCCGUGAUGAUUGUUGAUUUUAGAGUGAUCCGAGGGGUAAAGUUUUUUUCAUGCGGCAACGUGAAAAACGUCGACUCCACAUGCAUAAACUAUGCAAAUACUCGGGAGAGGUGUGGUCGAGUCCCACCAGAAAGCUUUUGAGGAUGGAUUAUACCAAUGUGUGGGAUGACAUUAUAUCCCUUCUCACUAGAAGGCGAAGCAAGCUGGAGCUGUUCUUGUUUCGAUAUGUUUUCCAGGCCACUCUAUGUGCAGUUUGGGCAGAACGGAAUGGGAGGAGAUUUGGAGAGGAUCCCAAAGCUGCGUCGGGGCUUACAAAAAUCAUCGACAAACAAGUUCGAAAUCGUAUCUCAAGCAUCAGAUACAACUCAGCUUAUCAGGGAGCGAUGGGAACUUGGUUCUCCUUCAUAUGAUCCUAUUUUCUAAUGUAAAGCAAAGUUUCAAUUUCUUUUGAGCUUAAAACAAGCAACUUUGGUUGUAAACAGUAUUUUUUGUUUGAAUUAGUUUAACAUUCUUUCAAAAAAAAAAGUUAUUGAAAAUUGAAAAUUACAGAAAAUGAUACAUUUAUUAUGGUA